AUACGUAGGGUGCGAGCGUUGUCCGGAAUUACUGGGCGUAAAGAGCUCGUAGGUGGUUUGUCGCGUCGUCUGUGAAAUUCCGGGGCUUAACUCCGGGCGUGCAGGCGAUACGGGCAUAACUUGAGUACUGUAGGGGAGACUGGAAUUCCUGGUGUAGCGGUGAAAUGCGCAGAUAUCAGGAGGAACACCGGUGGCGAAGGCGGAUCUCUGGGCAGUAACUAACGCUGAGGAGCGAAAGCAUGGGUAGCGAACAGGAUUAGAUACCCUGGUAGUCCAUGCCGUAAACGGUGGGCGCUAGGUGUAGGGGUCUUCCACGACUUCUGUGCCGUAGCUAACGCAUUAAGCGCCCCGCCUGGGGAGUACGGCCGCAAGGCUAAAACUCAAAGGAAUUGACGGGG
rnacentral:rRNA from 1 species